GGUAGGGCUCAGUAGUAGAGCCCUUGCCUAGCAUGCAUGAGGCCCUGGGUUUGAUUCUCAGUACC
rnacentral:tRNA from 1 species